rnacentral:rRNA from 1 species
ACGGAGGGUGCAAGCGUUAUCCGGAUUUAUUGGGUUUAAAGGGUGCGUAGGCGGAGUAUUAAGUCAGUGGUGAAAUCCUGCAGCUUAACUGUAGAACUGCCAUUGAUACUGGUACUCUUGAAUGUGAUUGAAGUAGGCGGAAUGUGUCAAGUAGCGGUGAAAUGCUUAGAUAUGACGCAGAACACCGAUUGCGUAGGCAGCUUACUAAGUCAUUAUUGACGCUGAGGCGCGAAAGCGUGGGGAGCAAACAG